UACGGGGGGGGCAAGCGUUGUUCGGAAUUACUGGGCGUAAAGGGCUCGUAGGCGGCCAACUAAGUCAGACGUGAAAUCCCUCGGCUUAACCGGGGAACUGCGUCUGAUACUGGAUGGCUUGAGAUUGGGAGAGGGAUGCGGAAUUCCAGGUGUAGCGGUGAAAUGCGUAGAUAUCUGGAGGAACACCGGUGGCGAAGGCGGCAUCCUGGACCAGCACUGACGCUGAGGAGCGAAAGCCAGGGGAGCAAACAGG
rnacentral:rRNA from 1 species